rnacentral:rRNA from 1 species
UACGUAGGGUGCUAGCGUUAAUCGGAAUUACUGGGCGUAAAGCGUGCGCAGGCGGUGAUGUAAGACCGAUGUGAAAUCCCCGGGCUUAACCUGGGAAUGGCAUUUGGGACUGCAAGGCUGGAGUUUGGCAGAGGAGACUGGAAUUCCCGGUGUAGCAGUGAAAUGCGUAGAUAUCGGGAGGAAUACCGAUGGCGAAGGCAGGUCUCUGGGCUAUAACUGACGCUCAUGCACGAAAGCGUGGGGAGCAAACAGG